UACGUAGGGUGCAAGCGUUGUCCGGAAUUAUUGGGCGUAAAGAGCUCGUAGGCGGUUUGUCGCGUCUGCCGUGAAAGUCCGGGGCUCAACUCCGGAUCUGCGGUGGGUACGGGCAGACUAGAGUGAUGUAGGGGAGACUGGAAUUCCUGGUGUAGCGGUGAAAUGCGCAGAUAUCAGGAGGAACACCGGUGGCGAAGGCGGGUCUCUGGGCAAUAACUGACGCUGAGGAGCGAAAGCGUGGGGAGCGAACAGG
rnacentral:rRNA from 1 species